rnacentral:rRNA from 1 species
UACAGAGGUCUCAAGCGUUGUUCGGAUUCAUUGGGCGUAAAGAGCGUGUAGGCGGCUUUACAGGUCCGUUGUGAAAACUCGAGGCUCAACCUCGAGACGCCGAUGGAAACCAUCUGGCUAGAGUCCGGAAGAGGAGAGUGGAAUUCCUGGUGUAGCGGUGAAAUGCGCAGAUAUCAGGAAGAACACCCGUGGCUAAGGCGGCUCUCUAGUACGGUACUGACGCUGAGACGCGAAAGCGUGGGGAGCGAACAGG